rnacentral:snRNA from 1 species
AUCGGUCUUCGGUCAAGGGUAUAUGAGUAGCUGCGUUCUCCUGCUAGAACCUCCAAACAAGCUCUGAUGGUCCAUUGUAGGAAUGUAGGGUAGUGAAGCUUAUGGUCUACCCGAAAACUGUGGACCUUGGUGUGGGCCAGGUAAUCCACUAGU